rnacentral:lncRNA from 1 species
CAUGAGCCAAAUCCUCUACAUGAUUGAAAGAAUAAUAUAAUGUAAGGCAAUCUCGGAUGUAUUAUAACUUCUAAGCUUAGCAGAGGAUGUACGAGGAUAAUGACUAUCUUUAGGUAUCACUAUCCUGCAAGUCUUCAGGGCCAAUUACUGUUGCUAGAAAUAUAUACAAACAAAAUUACACAACCUAAUGCAAGUAGUA